rnacentral:tRNA from 1 species
UGGACCAUGGUGUAAUGGUUAGCACCGCGAUUUGUGAUGUCGUUAGUCUCAGUUCGAAUCUGUGUGGUCCAA